GUGGAUUACUUUACUUUUUGUUAACGAGAACUUUAGCAAAGUCAAAGAAGCAUUCAACUCACAAGGUGUGAAAACCCUUGUUACAAGUGAAAAUUUUCAGGAUCAAUUUUUUUUAAUGGAUGGGUAGAGGCUGCAUAAGUCCGAGUGAAGCAAGUACAUCUGACUUAUUUCUUUGAGUGGCAAAGAAAAGAAAAGCCUUAUCACUUGCACAAGAAAGGAAACGCGAUAGCGUGACUAAGCACCCUGUUAGUUCCUGAAGCUCUUUAACAUUGGAAUGGCUCCUCGUGUCAAUGAUGACCUAACAAUUGCAUGGGUUCUCAUAUAUGCUUCCCUUGAUUAACAUAUAAUCAACAAACUUGGUCAUUUACAUGUCAAAUAAGAACUUGGCAGGAUUCAGGCACAUGUUGUAGUACUUGAUUGAUCCUAAGAUAUCUUAUAAGUCUGGUGUGUGACCCCCCCCCCCCCCCUAUGGUCUUUACUAUCAUGUCAUAAAUAUAGAAUUCAAGGUUGCACUCUAAUUGUUUUGAGAAUACCGUGUCCAUGAGUCUCUGAUAGGUGACAUUUUCGUUCUUUAACCCAAAAGGCAUGACCUUGUAAUAAUAGUUUUCAUGAUUGGCAUGAAAGUUGUCUUGGGCUCGUCCAUGGGAUUCAUCUUAAUUUGUUUGUAUUUAGAGUAGGCAUCCAUGAAACUCAAUAUUUUGUAGUUUGAAGAUUUUUCAAUUAGGUGAUUUAUGU